rnacentral:rRNA from 1 species
AGCAGCCGCGGUAAUUCCAGCUCCAAUAGCGUAUAUUAAAGUUGUUGCAGUUAAAAGCUCGUAGUUGAAUUUCGGGGUCAAUAUGUCGGUCGUGCCUUGGUACGUACUGGUAUCAUUGGUCUCUCCUUUCUGACGAACCAUGAUGUCAUUAAUUUGGUGUUAUGGGAAGUUAGGACUGUUACUUUGAAAAAUUGAGUGUUUAAAGCAGGCUUUAGCUUGAAUACAUUAGCAUGGAAUAAUGAAGUAGGACGUUCGAACCUAUUUUGUUGGUUUCUAGGAUCAACGUAAUGAUUAAUAGGGGUAUUGGGGGCAUUAGUAUUCAAUUGCAGAGGUGAAAUUCUUGGAUUUAUUGAAGACUAACUACUGCGAAAGCAUUUGCCAAGGAUGUUUUC